GAAGCGGCAACAGCUCAAAUUUGAAAUCUGACCCUUGGGGUCCGAGUUGUAAUUUGCAGAGGGUGUUUCGGGCACGGUGCCGGUUUAAGUCCUUUGGAACAGGGCGUCAUAGAGGGUGAGAACCCCGUAUGUGACCGGUCGCCAAACCCAUGUGAAACCCCUUCGACGAGUCGAGUUGUUUGGGAAUGCAGCUCAAAAUGGGUGGUAAAUUUCAUCUAAAGCUAAAUAUUGGCCAGAGACCGAUAGCGCACAAGUAGAGUGAUCGAAAGAUGAAAAGCACUUUGGAAAGAGAGUCAAACAGCACGUGAAAUUGUUGAAAGGGAAGCGCUUGCGACCAGACCUGCUCGCGGGUGAUCAGCGGUGCUUUUCGCGCCGUGCACUCAUCCGCGAUCAGGCCAGCAUCGGUUCAGGCGGCCGGAUAAAGACUCGGAGAAUGUAGCUCCCUCCGGGGAGUGUUAUAGCUCCUUGUGCAAUACGGCCAGCCGGGACCGAGGACCGCGCUUCGGCUAGGAUGCUGGCGUAAUGGUCGUAAGCGACCCGUCUUGAAACACGGACCAAGGAGUCUAACAUCUGUGCGAGUGUUUGGGCGUCAAACCCAUGCGCGCAAUGAAAGUGAACGUGAGGUGGGAACCCUUUCGGGGGCGCACCAUCGACCGAUCCAGAUGUCUUCGGAUGGAUUUGAGUAAGAGCACAGCUGUUGGGACCCGAAAGAUGGUGAACUAUGCCUGAAUAGGGUGAAGCCAGAGGAAACUCUGGUGGAGGCUCGCAGCGGUUCUGACGUGCAAAUCGAUCGUCAAAUUUGGGUAUAGGGGCGAAAGACUAAUCGA
rnacentral:rRNA from 1 species